GACACAGAGUUGAGGUAUCAGGAAGGUUGAGACCGGCUGCUCUGAAGGGCUGGUGACCUUGCUCGUAGGGCGGUUUCCUUUCAGACGCCAUUUUACUUGGAUGUCCUAGGACCUCCCUACCUCCAUCCUCAGAGCUCACUGGUAGGACUGUUUCCAAUCCCUUCCCUGGAGCUGCCUCUUCCAGGAAUGAAUCAUUUGAGUGGUCCCAUGACCACCCCAGUUCUCAGCAAGUCUUUGCUGCUGAAUCAGCACCUAGAUGUCCCUGUAGGGAAUUGGAAUUUGUCCCCUGAUCCUUCAGUUGUAUAUAGGUUGAGUAUUUCUCUUCCAAAAUUUUAGGACCCAGAAAUGUUUCAGCUGUUAGAUUGGGAUCUCUGUGAGGACUCUCUACAAGGUUAAAUAUUCCUAAUUAAAAACCCCAGACCCUGAAAUAUUCUGAGUUAUGCAAGUUAAAAAAAAUGGAUUUCAGAGCAUUUUGGAUAUUUGGAGUAGGAAUUCUCAACCCACAUACAUUUUCUUUUUCUUUUCUUUUUCUUUCUUUUUUCUUUUGUUUUCUUUUCUUUUGUUUUCUUUUCUUUUCUUUUCUCUUCCUUCCCUUUCUUUCUUUCUUUCUUUCUUUCUUUCUUUCUUUCUUUCUUUCUUUCUUUCUUUCUUUCUUUCUCUUUUUGUUUUGUUUUGUUUUGUUUUGUUUUUGUUGUUGUUGGUUUUUUUGAGACAGGGUUUCUCUGUGUAGCCCUGGCUGUCCUGGAACUCACUUUGUAGACCAGGCUGGCCUCGAACUCAGAAAUCUGCCUGCCUCUGCCUCCCAAGUGCUGGGUUCUUUUCUUUUCUUUCCUUUUCCUUUUCCUUUUCCUUUUUUCCUUUUCCUUUUCCUUUUCCUUUUUUCCUUUUCCUUUCCUUUCCUUUCCUUUCCUUUCCUUUCCUUUCCUUUCCUUUCUUUUUUCUUUUCUCUUCUUUUUACAUCAAGAGAAAUUGAGCAUCUUAAACUUGUGUGCAUAUCAGUGCCAGGCAGAGUGAAUGGAAAGUAGCCAUCUGACAGGAGAGAGAGGGGGAGAGGGAGAGAGGGCAGUUUCCAUUGAGUUCCUGAGCCUAUAUCAUCUCCCUGUAGACUUCUUUUCAAUUUCCAGGCAGCUAUGGCUGGAGCAGACAUCAUUUGGUGCUGGCUUUCUUCUCCACAAAUGCUCCGUUGGGCGACACAUUCACGUGUGACGCUUGGCUGCACGUCAGGAAACCCAUGCUCAUUUUGUGGGCAAGCUUCUGGAAAAGUGGCUAAACUGGGCUGUGUGUGUGUGACAUACAGCUAUGAAUUUAUACAAAAGUACCCAGAUAAGGAGAGGGGAUAUGUGAGAGAGGGCUUGGAGGGAGGGAGGGAGGGAGGGAGGGACCACACUGAGCAGUUUCAUGUGUUAGCAUGUCCCUUCUUCCCAACUGUCAACUCCAUGUGCACAUUUCUUCCUUUGUGCAGAGAGCCAUGUGAAAUCCCGCUUUCUCAGUAGGAAAACCUUAAGCAUGAGCUCUGAGCGUCUGUCCUUGGUGGACUCCAGGUUCAGAGCAAACCUUGCUGUGUAGGACUCUGGAAGCUGAAUGUCCUUAACUGAUUUUCCUGGUGCUUGCUAACCAUUCUGCUCUUCUUCUCCACGUGAGAGGAGAGCUGGAUAAUUGUGUAGUGGAUCCGGGCCUUUGCCCUUGAGGGCAUUUCCCCCAGAUCUCUGCUGCACUCUAUGCCUUGUGGGGCUGUGCCCACCAGUGAUGGUCCUGGCAAAAUGCAAAGAGCCCAGAAAAAUGAGGGGCAUUUCAGAUAUCUGUCUAUCUGUCUCCUUGUCUGUCUUAAUACCGUGCCUGGUGUAGCAGUUAGGUUCUCUCAUUUGUGCUGGGCUCUGGGAAGCAGCCAGGAGUGAAAGGCCUAAUUCACCAUUCCAAGGCCAUUCUGAGGGAAGGCUCCGUGAAGCCCUCAGGCACAGGGCCUGCCUCUGCAGGCACUCACCUGCCCUAUCUGUCCCGAGAUCACCUGGCAGGGAGGUUACUGAAAUUUCCUCAGAUGGCAACUGCUGAAUCGAUCACAUUCUUUAAAAACUAGCUUAAUAAGAAACAGACCCCAGGCCUCUGGUUUACGUGUGGCUCUGGCUUAGGCUAUGAGCAGGGCUAGGUCUGAAUCUGAGCAGGAUUCUAGGGAACUGAGCAUGCUCAGAACUCCCAGGUCUGCACGUAAGGUAGACAGGAUAGGGGUCCUGAAGACUCUGAGCGCUUAGCUGGCUUCUUAGGCAAAAUCACACCAUCGCAAGCAGCUUGGAGCCCGUUUUACAUAGGCUGUAUUUUGUAGGUGACAGAAUCCGCACCCUCUCAAGUUCCUUGGGUUAUGUUCGGUUUACUUUGACGGCAACAUUGGAAUAGCAUUCUUCAAAGUUCCCAGGAAGGAGAAUGACCUGCAACUAUUUGGAGAUAAAUGAAAACGCCAACUGAUAGGCAAAUGCCAAGAAAACAGACUCCCCAUAAGCCCUCAGGGGAAGGAAUUGUGUCUUUACCUGCAGCACUGUGGAUAAAACUGUAAAGGCAAACACAGGGCACGAUUAAGUACACACAGAUAAAGAGGUUAUGUUCAGUAAGAAAAGAUAGCAGCAGCUUGUCAUGAAGCAGGCAAGGGAGGGCCAGUGCGGAGAGCAAGAGGUUUGUCUUUAUGUCUCUUAUGUGUACCGACUUAGAAGUAACAACCCCAAAUAACUAGACAGAGGAGAAAACUCUCCCACAAAGAGAAUCGACUGGAAAAUAAAUCUCCCAGGAAGGUAGACUGCAAGUUGAAAGCAGAGUCAGGGUAAUGUCUCCCGUUUGUCAAGGAAGAGGAAGCAAGCCAACAGAAGGGGAAGGUGAAAGCGGCCCCAUGCUCAGAGACGCUAUUCUCUGAAGUAGCCCUCUUAAAAACCAGGAAAUGUGGGCUGCAGAGAUGGCUCAGCAGUUAGGGGCACUGUCUGCUCUUCUAGAGGUCCUGAGCAACCACGUGGUGGCUCACAACCAUCUGUAAUGGGAUCCGAUGCCCUCUCCUGGUGUGUCUGAAGACAUGUACUUAUAUAAGUAAAUAAACAAGUCUUUUUUUAAAAAUCGGGAAGUGUGUAAAAUGUUCAACCCUUUAGUUCUAAAACUAUCUAUUUCAAGGAUAUAAUGCCAAACAAAAUUUUAAAUUGUGUCCAAAAGCACUCAGCGCAACUUAUAUAGAACUUAAUUGGGUAUAACUUGUUUCUAAUAUGAAGGAGAUAGCAGAAUCAAUUAUAGUGUAUUUACUUUGAACUGAGUACCAGCAAUCAUGAUAGAGAUGAAGACUUUAUAGGAAAAUACAUAUAACAUAUUGCUUCUUCUGAAAGUCUGUAUGUGUGUGUGGUAUGGUGGGGCACACCUAAUAUUUUAGCAUUUGGAUGAAACAGAAGUGUCAUGAGUUCAAGACCAACAUGGGCUACAUAGUGGGAACUGUCAAAAGAAAUG
rnacentral:lncRNA from 1 species